rnacentral:rRNA from 1 species
AUUGAACGCUGGCGGCAGGCUUAACACAUGCAAGUCGAGCGAGCGGCGGACGGGUGAGUAAUGUCUGGGAAACUGCCUGAUGGAGGGGGAUAACUACUGGAAACGGUAGCUAAUACCGCAUACCAUCAGAUGUGCCCAGAUGGGAUUAGCUAGUAGGUGGGGUAAUGGCUCACCUAGGCGACGAUCCCUAGCUGGUCUGAGAGGAUGACUAGCCACACUGGAACUGAGAAACGGUCGAGACUGCUACGGGAGGCAGACGUGGGGAAUAUUGCACAAGGGGGGCAAGCCUGAUGGAGCCAUGCAGCGUGUGUGAAGAAGGCAUUCGGGUUGUAAAGAAAUUUCAGCGAGGAGGAGUUACUCGAAGAAGAAGCAGCGGAUAACUCCGUGCCAGCCGCGGUAAUUC